rnacentral:rRNA from 1 species
AGCGCAUACGGUGGAUGCCUAGGCGGUAGUAGGCGAUGAAGGACGUGGUAAUCUGCGAUAAGCCCCGGCGAGCUGAUAAACAAGCUUUGACCCGAGGAUUUCCGAAUGGGAAAACCCACCCUGCUUGCAGGGUAUCGUUAACUGAAUACAUAGGUUAACGAGGCGAACCCGGGGAACUGAAACAUCUAAGUACCCGGAGGAAAAGAAAUCAACCGAGAUUCCCUUAGUAGCGGCGAGCGAACGGGGACCAGCCCUAAACUCUAUAUUAAUCUAGCGGAACACUCUGGAAAGUGUGGCCAUAGCGGGUGAUAGCCCCGUACGCGAAAGAUUCUUAUAGAUUAUUCGAGUAGGACGGCGCACGUGAAACGUUGUCUGAACAUGGGGGGACCAUCCUCCAAGGCUAAAUACUAACUACCGACCGAUAGUGAACCAGUACCGUGAGGGAAAGGCGAAAAGAACCCCUGUUAGGGGAGUGAAAUAGAACCUGAAACCGUAUGCGUACAAGCAGUGGGAGCAGACUUGUUCUGUGACUGCGUACCUUUUGUAUAAUGGGUCAGCGACUUACUUCUCAGUGGCAAGCUUAACCGUUUAGGGGAGGCGUAGGGAAACCGAGUCUUAAUAGGGCGUCUUAGUCGCUGGGAGUAGACCCGAAACCGGGCGAUCUAUCCAUGGCCAGGUUGAAGGUGAGGUAACACUCACUGGAGGACCGAACCCACCUAUGUUGAAAAAUGGGGGGAUGAGCUGUGGAUCGGAGUGAAAGGCUAAUCAAGCCCGGAGAUAGCUGGUUCUCCUCGAAAGCUAUUUAGGUAGCGCCUCGCGUCUCACUCUCGGGGGUAGAGCACUGUUAUGGCUAGGGGGCCAUCCCGGCUUACCAAACCAUUGCAAACUCCGAAUACCGAGAAGUGCAAUCACGGGAGACAGACGGCGGGUGAUAAGGUUCGUCGUCAAAAGGGAAACAGCCCAGACCGCCAGCUAAGGUCCCUAAAUCACAGCUCAGUGGGAAACGAUGUGGGAAGGCACAGACAGCCAGGAGGUUGGCUUAGAAGCAGCCACCCUUUAAAGAAAGCGUAAUAGCUCACUGGUCGAGUCGGCCUGCGCGGAAGAUAUACCGGGGCUUAAGCUGUGUACCGAAGCUGCGGAUGCAAGCUUGCUUGCAUGGUAGAGGAGCGUUCUGUAAGCCUGUGAAGGUGUGCCGUAAGGCAUGCUGGAGGUAUCAGAAGUGCGAAUGCUGACAUGAGUAACGAUAAAGCGGGUGAAAAACCCGCUCGCCGAAAGUCCAAGGGUUCCUGCGCAACGCUAAUCGGCGCAGGGUGAGUCGGUCCCUAAGGCGAGGCCGAAAGGCGUAGUCGAUGGGAAACAGGUCAACAUUCCUGUACCUGUUGCUACUGCGAUGAGGGGACGAAGAAGGCUAGGUUGUCCGGGUGUUGGAUAUCCCGGUUUAAGCAUGUAGGGAGUGGCUUUAGGAAAAUCCGGAGCUGCAAUUCCGAGAUGCGAUGACGAGGCUCUUUAUUGAGCUGAAGCAACUGAUGCCAUGCUUCCAGGAAAAGCCUCUAAGCUUCAGGUAGCAAGAGACCGUACCCGAAACCAACACAGGUGGACAGGGUGAGAAUCCCAAGGCGCUUGAGAGAACUCUGGUGAAGGAACUAGGCAAAAUAGCACCGUAACUUCGGGAGAAGGUGUGCCUCUGGUGGUGAUGGGACUUGCUCCCUGAGCUGCUGGGGGUUGCAGUGACUAGGUGGCUGCGACUGUUUACUAAAAACAUAGCACUCUGCAAACUCGUGAGAGGAAGUAUAGGGUGUGACGCCUGCCCGGUGCCGGAAGGUUAAUUGAUGGGGUUAGUCUUCGGACGAAGCUCUUGAUCGAAGCCCCGGUAAACGGCGGCCGUAACUAUAACGGUCCUAAGGUAGCGAAAUUCCUUGUCGGGUAAGUUCCGACCUGCACGAAUGGCGUAACGAUGGCCACACUGUCUCCACCAGAGACUCAGUGAAAUUGAAAUCGCUGUGAAGAUGCAGCGUACCCGCGGCAAGACGGA